rnacentral:rRNA from 1 species
UACGUAGGGUGCGAGCGUUGUCCGGAAUUAUUGGGCGUAAAGAGCUCGUAGGCGGUUUGUCGCGUCUGCCGUGAAAGUCCGGGGCUCAACUCCGGAUCUGCGGUGGGUACGGGCAGACUAGAGUGAUGUAGGGGAGACUGGAAUUCCUGGUGUAGCGGUGAAAUGCGCAGAUAUCAGGAGGAACACCGGUGGCGAAGGCGGGUCUCUGGGCAACAACUGACGCUGAGGCACGAAAGCGUGGGGAGCAAACAGG